UGGGGUGUCGUCUAAUGGCAGGACAGCGGAUUUUGGGUCCGCCCGUCGGGGUUCGAGUCCCUGCACCCCAGCCA
rnacentral:tRNA from 1 species